GCCCUCAUCUUGUUGACCUGGGACUCAGCGAUGUCAGCACGCUCUGCAGCCUCCUCAAGCUCAUGCUGCACCUUCCUGUACCUGGACAGGAGAGGAUGAUCUUCACCCCGCCAACUACUCUCCAGUGUAUUUGUGUGAUGUAGGUCCUCAAUUUCUUGGCCUGGUACUCAGCGAUAGCAGCACACCCCGGGCUUCCUUAUGUUCACGCUGUACCUUCAUACAGCUCCUGGACAGGUCCUCGGCUUCUUGACCUGUAGAGUCAGUACAUUCCUAACUCUCCUCAAGUCCUCCCCAAGUGCUAAGCUUACACCUUUUUAUACCUGCACAGUGUUGGCUUUUAGCAGGUGCAUGUGAAAUUGCACAGAGUACAUGCGAUUAUGUAUGCAUCUGCAUGCUUUGAAUGUAUGUACAAAUGUAUAUGGAUAACUGUGUGCUGUAUCUGUAUGAGGCACUUGUGUGAAAAUAUGAAUACAAGAAUUUUGGUUUGUAUUUGUUCCACAGCUUUAGUUUACUUUAUGCUGGUCUCCAAAGGAUACCCGAUUAAAUAAAGACACUUGUGACCAUUUAGGAAAUCAGCCAAAUGUUUUUGUUGUUGUUGCUGUUAUUGUUGGAUGAUUUUAUGAUGUUCUUAUUCACCAUGUGGUAAAUUAGCUUCCCUGCAGUAUAUUGAGUGUGGUAAGAGCUGAACUGGCCAAGACCAGAAGCAGCGUCAUUUGUAAGGGUUGUUUUUCACUACAAAUACAUUAACAUUAAGUUUAACUUAUCUGUGUCAUAAUGCUUGGGAGUCACUCUAUAAUAAGGAGUACAUUUCAAGUCCACGUGACAUCAAUUUCACCAACUAUUAACGUCAACCAAUGAUCUUUUGGACACCAGCACAAAUUUAACUUAUCUUUUAUUUAAUACAAAAAGUCAACAAGUAACAUUAUUUUUCUCUUCAAAAAUAAAUAUAUAAUACUGAUUUUUGAUCAUUUUUAUGCUGUCUGAUUUUCCAAAUGUCAGAUUCAGUCUUCAUAUCAUGUAAAAAUGUUUUUGAAAAAUUGUGCAAAAUAUUCACACAUAUUUAUUCACAGUAAUUAUUGUAAUAUGACAAAAGCCGAUUAUGCUUUACAUCGAUGUGAUCAGUGGUUGCCAAACUAGGGGUUGGGACCCCCAAGGGGGUAGCGGAGGUACUGAAAGGGAGUCAUGGUUAACAACUAACAGCUAAUACAUGUAUUUGCUGUCAUUUGGAUUUCUAGCAAUUUUAGCGGACAAACUAUUAAUGGAAAAUUUAGCAAUAUUAAUGGGCAAAAAAAUUGCCUUUUCCAAAUGUCAGAUUCAGUCUUCAUAUUAUCAUGUAAAACUAAAUUUGUUUAAAAAAAAAAAUGCAAUAUUAGCGGACAAACUAAUAUAUACAAAUUAAAGUUGCCUAAUUUUUCAAUAAUAUUGCUAGAUUUUCCAUGAAUAGUUUGUCUGCUAAUAUUUCUAGAAAUCCUUUCCUAUACUAAGACUAUGGUGUGUCGUAAUCUGUCAUAACAACUGUGUCAUAUAACAACUCUAUCAUAACAACUGUCACAAGCUAAUGAGUGACAUCGUUGACAGCAGCCUGAUCUCCAAAAAUUCCGUGCUCCUGGACACGGAUGUUAAGGACACGAAAUCCGUGUCCAGGAGCACGGAUUUUGCCCAAAUUCCGUGCUCCUGGACACAGAAUUGUUUUCUGUGAUGGGCACACGGAAGUGCUUUCUAUAGGCUAUUACCACAGCACUGUAACUCUAUCAUUAGAAAAUACAUACCAAAUGCUUAUCCUAAACAAAAUACUUCUAUAGCAAUUUAAGUUGUGCCCUGACCAAAACAUUCACUAACCUUAACCUGUCAUUAAAGACAUAUUUUUGAGAAAUACCUUUUCCAGUUGGUUGCUAUGCUAUCAAAUUCAUAUAAUGAUUGAAAGAAAACUAGCUGUUCCCAGACCAAAACAAUCCCUAACCCAGCUGUCAGUAAGAAAUGUUUUUUUUUGAGAAAAAAUAUUUGAAAUUAGAAAAAUCCUGAGAAAACAGACUGUGGAAACAUUAAGCUGUGGGAAUGUAGAGAGAGCACUUCUGUGUGUCCAUCACGGAAAAUAAUUCUGUGUCCAGGCGCACAGAAUUUUGGCAAAAUCCGUGCUCCUGGACACAGAUUUUGUGUCCUUAACAUCCGUGUCCAGGACCAUGGAAUUUUUGCAGAUCAUGUUGCUGACAGAGGCGUAACACAGUUGACGGCCAUUUUUAGAGUAUUGUGCUAACUGCAGACCUCAGAGCUUUCACCACAAGAUCUUAAUCAAUUCAUAUUUUUAUGGGCUCUGUAUGCUUAUAAAUAUAAUUUCUAAUUCAGGUUCUUAGGAAUAUGUUGAAAACACUUGACAGACAUUUAUUCCUCUCUAAGACCAUCAAAAAGUAUUGAAAUAUUGAAGAGGUGAACUCAAAACUUACCAAAAGAGUUAAUUACAUUUUAUGAUGCUGGUCAUAUGACUUACCAAACCAUUGUUGAUUUAUGGAGGGGUUUUCAGUUUGUGACACGGUUGACACGGUUUUCUUGGACGCACACAAAAUCCCUGGUUUAACAAGUUAAUGUUCACCAGCCGUGGGCGGGAUACAGCCUGGCCAGUGGUUACAAAUCAAUUGUUUGAAAGAGUUUUCUCCACCACAUUAUCCACACCACCAUGACUUCUCGAGAGACACUUGCUAUGGGUAAUCAGGGCACAUUAGACACUCCAAUCUGCCAGGCCCCACUACCACUGCACAGGGCUGAGCUGAUACCAACCAGCCUGCCCAGAUACCACAUUCCAUGGGUUCCAAUUAACAAUCAAUGAGCCCCGCGGCCGGGUUGGUGCAACAUCCAAUCAGCAUGCAGUUCUGUACUGCACAGGUGCAGCUUGUUAUUGAAGCUGAAGUAUCAAAGUGUACAUGCUGCCCAAUAUCCGCCAUAUUUUUGCCGUUUUU